GCAGCCUGCCGGCGGAAAGGAGAGAGACUUCGGAAAGGCCCCGCACGCCAAAGAGAGACGUUCCUCACGUGCACCCCCUCCACUUCCGGUCUGAAGCGACAUCGGACUUGGGCUAAGAAGGUUGCUUCCGACUCAUCGUCACCUCAUGGACCAGCCCACGCCAGAGUUCCCUAUUGGCCGUGGCCACCCCCAGCUCCUUCAAGGUCAAGCCAGUCCCUUCAAGGAUAUCACCUGGAGUAUGCACUGUUUGAUCUUCUUGCAGUCGAAAGCACUUCAACACCACAGUUCAAAUGUGUCGAUCUUCCUUCGCUCAGCCUUCAUUAUGGUCCAGCUCUCGCAUCCAUAGGUUACUACAGGGAAUACUAUUGCUUUAACUAUGUAGUCCUUCGUUGCCAGUGUGAAAAGAAAUAAAUGUGAUAACAAUAAGAAAUAAACAUAUUUAAAAACUUU